AAAAAGAAAAAGAAAAACGGCGAAGUACGAUCUCCCAUACACUCCACUGGAAAAGGGAAGAAAGUCUCAGAUGGGCAUGCGUAUAACUCCCAAAACACAUUGCGCAUGUUCAAUUCCAAAGGGUACAGAAAGCACUGCGCAUUCGGAAAUCCCAAGGGAGGAAUUAUAGGAAAGACAUGAGCUUGUAAAAGUGCUAGGAUCAGCCAGGCGCGCUGGCUCUGGCCUGUAAUCCCAGCUAGCACUUUGGGAGGUCGAACCCGGGAGGCGGAGGUUGCAGUGAGCCAAGAUCACGCCAUUGCACUCCAGCCUGGGCAACAAGAGCAAAACUCCAUCUCAAAAAAAAAAGUAAAGAAAAGAAAAGAAAACAACCAAGGCUCAAAGAAGUAAUUCUGGGAAGUAGGAGGCCAACAUAAUAGAGAACCUAAGCAUAAAAGUGGGCAACUUCAGGCCAGACGUAGUGACUCAUGCCUGUAAUCCCAGCACUUUGGAAGGCCGAGGCGGGCAGAUCAUGAGGUCAGGA
rnacentral:lncRNA from 10 species